ACUUAGCUCAAUCGGAAGAGCGUUUGGCUUUUGACCAGAUGGUAGCGAGAUCAAAACUCGCAGU
rnacentral:tRNA from 1 species